AGUGAACGCUGGCGGUAGGCCUAACACAUGCAAGUCGAACGGCAGCACAGUAAGAGCUUGCUCUUACGGGUGGCGAGUGGCGGACGGGUGAGGAAUACAUCGGAAUCUACUUUUUCGUGGGGGAUAACGUAGGGAAACUUACGCUAAUACCGCAUACGACCUACGGGUGAAAGCAGGGGAUCUUCGGACCUUGCGCGAUUGAAUGAGCCGAUGUCGGAUUAGCUAGUUGGCGGGGUAAAGGCCCACCAAGGCGACGAUCCGUAGCUGGUCUGAGAGGAUGAUCAGCCACACUGGAACUGAGACACGGUCCAGACUCCUACGGGAGGCAGCAGUGGGGAAUAUUGGACAAUGGGCGCAAGCCUGAUCCAGCCAUACCGCGUGGGUGAAGAAGGCCUUCGGGUUGUAAAGCCCUUUUGUUGGGAAAGAAAAGCAGCAGGUUAAUACCCCGCUGUUCUGACGGUACCCAAAGAAUAAGCGCCGGCUAACUUCGU
rnacentral:rRNA from 1 species